rnacentral:tRNA from 1 species
CUUGGUGGCUCAGAUGGUAAAGAAUCUGCCUGCAACGCAGGAAAUCUGGGUUCUGAUCCCUGCGUCAGGA